UCCAUACAUUGAGAAGCAAGAUGGAAGAGAGCAUUGAGAUGGUUUCGAGAACAGGAGUGAAACAAAUUAUGCAUGAGAUGCUUUGGCCUCUGGUGCUUCGGUACAUAAUUCCACAAAUAAUUUCCAAAUAUGUGUCAUGGCUUGCAACAUUGAAGUAAGUUUUACACGAUAUUCAUUUCUGUAUAUUCUUCUUUGAACUUACAGUACAUAUCUUCUAGUUGAGCUCACUUGACAGACAAAGGAUGAUAAGAAAAAGGUAGCAAUAAAAGAUCAUUUUUUCUUCUCAGUGUGACUCCAAAUUCUUCAGUCAUAUCCAAUUCUUCACUUCUGAUUCCACUUGGAAGUUUCCAGUCAAAAUGAUACAACAACAUUGCAAGGGCCUGCUCAAUAUUUCUUAAUCCAAAUAUGGUCCCUGGGCAUAUUCUUCUUCCAGCCCCAAAAGGAAUGUACUCAAAAUUACUUCCUUUAUAGUCAAUAGAGCUAUCAAUGAAUCUCUCGGGAUAAAACUUUUCUGGUUCAGUCCAGUAGUUUGGAUCUCUUGCAAUUGCCCAAACAUUAAUCAUCACCCUAGUCUGAAUCGGAAUGUGAUAACCAUUUAUAUCACAUGCUUGACCACAUUCUCUUACUAUAAGAGCUGCUGGGGGGUGUAGCCUUAAGGUUUCUUUGACUACUGAUUUCAAAUAAUCGAGUUCAAUGAUGCAAUUUUCAUCAACCCUUCCUUUCAGUUUGAAAAGCUCUCUCACCUCAGCUUGUGCUUUCUUCAUUAUUCUUGGAUCUCUUACCAUUUCUACCAUUGCCCAAUCUAUGGUGUUUGCGGAUGUCUCGCUUCCAGCACCAAACAUGUCCUGAAAAGUAGCUACAAUAAGGUCGAGCUAAUUCAUGGAUGUUUAAAAAGAUACUCAUGCAGUGAUAGAGAGAAGAUAGAAUGAUAUAUUUUCAGAAAGAAGAAAAAAAAAUGAAAACCGUAUUUUGACGAUUCCAAAAUUUCUUAAAUUGCUGAAUCUGUUUUCAAAAAUUGUAAAUGAAAAUUAUAAGAGAAUUUCUGACUCUAUAUUCUAUCAUGUUUAGUAGUUGAAGUGAAUAUAAAAAUCAGAAAAUGGAAAUCAAAUUAUAAAUAUCAUCCGAUACUACAAAGUACAAAAAUCACGGGCAACAUAUUUAACAGCUGUAAAGAUUUCAUAUGGAGGUAUAGCUUGGACAGGUUUUAAAGAUUUAAAUUAAGUUUAAAAAGUUUUUUCUUCUUCACAGUGUUUGAAAGGGGUUAAUAUGCUUACCAUGAUUAUGGCCUUGAUAUUGUCUUUUGUUAAGGAAAAAUCCUGGUUGCUACCAUCCUCAUAAUUUAAGAGAACGUCUACCAGAUCUUCUUCUACACCUUGAUCAUCUUUGCCUUUGGCGUAUUUUGCCACUUUAUGGUCAUUGAUGAUGUUUUCAAAUAUCUGAUCAGUUUGUCGAUGAAAACUCUCAAGCUUAGACCUCAAACCAGUAACAUGUUGUAGCCAUUUAGCAGAAGGAAACAAAUCUCCCAAGUUAAAACCUGCUGAAACCUUUAUUGAUUGUUUUACCACUGAUAUAAAUUUUUCUUGCUCUUUACAUUUACUGCCAAAGGCUGCCCUUGAAACAAUUGUGUAUAUUGAUGAAAUUACAGCUUCAGUGAAAUUUAUUGGCGAUCCAUUCUGUGAAGCAACCCAUUUAACAAGAUUGGAGAGCACCUCUUCUCUAAUUGGUUGGUACGAGUUUACUCUUUUUAAGCUUAAAAGCUCUGAUGUGCAUAUUUUUCGUAACUGUCUCCAAUAAUUACCAUAAGGAGAGAAAGCUAUAUUUGUGUUAUUGUAAGUCAUUAUUUCUGUAGCUAGGAUUUGAGGCCUUGUUGCAAAGUGAAUAUCAUGGGUUUUCAUCACCUCGCUAGCACACUCGGGUGAUGAAAUGACGAUUGUUGAAACCUCUCCAAGUUGAAGAUGCAUUACAGGUCCAUAUUUUUUGGCCAAGUCUCUUAAUUUCUGAUGGGGUUGAGAGCUUAUUAGAUUGUGUAUAUUUCCUAUAAUAGGUAGCUUUCUAGGCCCUCGUGGUAUGAUAUACUUUGAGUUACUUUUCUUCUUUCUUAUAAUCUUUUGUAUGGUAAGGGUUAAAAGGACAACCGAGAAAAGAUAUGCAAAGUAGAGUACUAACAGAGCCAUGGCAGUAUGAGAUAUAUCCUACUCGCCAGUGUCUAUAUAUAUACAUCUUACACAUUAUUGAUUACUUAGCUUCAGCUGAAUGUCCUUGUACAUUUUCUGUUUUGUUUUAUGCCCUGUCAUCAUCGUCAAUUUGUCCUAUGUUUGAUAUUUUCUCCAUAUUGAAAGGAACAAUAUAGUUUUUAAAAGGCCCUCUUGGUAUAUCUUCUAUUUAAAAUUUUGAACCCGACAUCAUUGUCUUAUCUCAAAAUCACGAGUUUGAAAUCGAUGUCCUUGUCCUUCAAAAUGAAUGAAAAAAUUGAAAGAACCAAUAUACUUUUUAAAAGGCUAUUGUUUGUUAAUUCCGUACAGUCGGCCAGAGAAUCAAAUGCAUAUAUAUAUACAUGAUAGUACUCUAUUAUAAUAUUAAAGAUAUAGCAAGAAGUCCACAGUGCGUGAAUGAUUUUCAGUUUCCUUUUGUCAUUCUUCAAUAGUUUUGUUAGCAAGUUGAGAUUUUGUUUUUUUAUUCUAUAAAUUUUGUCUUACAAGAGCAAUUUGUUAAUAUUUUGAUUUAUUUGGGAUCUGUUAGAGUAUUUAAAAAUGCAUGUCAGUGUUAGCUGAAUAUUCAAUUGGCUCUACAUUUUCAGGUUCAUACUUCCACAAAUUAUAGCCUUCUUAAAACUGACGAUAGUUAUCUUCUAUUUAAGGCAAAGGAUGAUCAGAAAAAGGUAAUAAUAAAAGGUCAUCUUUUCUUCUCAUUGUGACUCCAAAUUCCUCAGUCAUGUGCAAUUCUUCACUUUUGAUUCCAUUCGGAAGUUUCCAAUCAAAAUGAUACAACAAUGUUGCAAGAGUCAGCUCAACAUUUCACAAAAAUGCAGUAGUGAAUUAAAUCACGAAUGAUCAUGUGUUUUGAACUGUUUUAUCAUGCAUUGAGAAGCAAGAUUGAACAGAGCAUUGAAAUGGUUCUGAGAAAAGGAGAGAAACGAAUUACGCAAGAGCUGCUCAGUCGUAUGGUUCCUUGGUUCAUGCUUCCACAAAUUAUGUUCAAAGAUGCGUCAUAGCCUACAACAUUGAAGUAUAUGUUUGGUCACACCUAUUCUUCUGAUUCCAUUGCCUCCCUAAUCCGGCAGAUCUUGAUGUUCUACACAAUUACCUUAUUGAAAUAUUCCAAUCCUUUACCAAAAUAGGCUCAUACAUCCACAAAUGAUGUCCAAAUAUGUGUCAUGGUUUACAACAUUGAAAUGCACCCUCUCAAGUUUAGGCCUUAAACCAGUGAAAUAAUGCAGCCAUGUAAUAGAAGGAAACAAAUCUGCU